GGAAAUUAGUGCAGAUGGUUGCAGUCAAACCACAGGGAUGUCAGCACAGGUGGAGAGAAAUAUUUCCUUUCAGCGAUGGUGUGGAAAAUUCAUUGUGGGGAGAUCAUGAUGCUGAUAGUCAAAACAAAUGUCUGCAGCUCUUCGUGGAACAGCAUGAGGGAUUAGGGCAGGUACAAUGUUCUUAGAGGGGAAAAGGACAUUCAGCACACACUCAAGGGACAUGCGGAAGACAGACAGGGAGACCAGGGUAAUGCAUAUUGAAUUCCAUGUUUUGACAUUACGGAACCCCAAUGGUCUACCAAUUUGAGAAGAUAAAGGAAGUCAUAAUACACUGCUUGGUUGAUUACCUGCGAGUCAUCUCAUUAAAGAGUAUGAUUUACGUGAAUAUGAUUGGGCACGUUUUCAUGACAUUUGUGACUGCCUCUUUUAUCACUAUGUAAUGCCACUGUGUAUUCCUUAACAAAUAAAGCGGGUUUUAAUCCUCAAUAUCCUUACAUGAGAGAGCAUAGUUUUCUUGUAUUUUUCAUACUGCUGAUGAUUGUCUUGGAGGACGUCGUACAACAAAUAUAUACAAAGAAGAUGCCUCAGAUGGAGACAGUCCUGAAAACAUUGACAUCAUCAUAGAAC